GGCGCACUUGCGACCGGCACCCAUGCCAAUGUUGAUAGUUAAAAUGUUGAAGUAGAGUAGUUCGUUCACUGGAUACACUUUAAAUAUGACAUUUCUUAUGCAAAUUUUGAAUUAAACUCUUUUAUGCAGUCAAAUUGGUAGUUGCGCUAUUCAUAUGGUCAAUUAAUCAACCCAGUGAAUGGAGAGUGGAAAAGCCAUUAAAACGCGAAAAUCAAAUCUUACUAAUGGCGACGAUUUUUUGGGAUACGAACGGCGUCAUCGGUAUGGAUUUAUUAAAAAAAAAGGAAGAACGAUCAUUGGACAAUAUAACAGUGAGAGUGAGUGGACAUUUGACAAAAAAGAAGGUGCUGUUUCACCACGAUAACACAUCAGCUCUUUCAUUCGGACUUGUCGCCGCCAACUGCAUGAAUUGCGUUAUGAAUUGCUGACGCACCCCCGCAUUUACUUGAUCUGGCUCUCUUCGACUUUUUCUUGUUCCCUAACAUAAAGAAAUGGCUCGCGGCGGGGAAAAGUAGUUCAAACUAGAAAGUCAUCGCUGGGAGAGAGGCGAAUUUUGAAGAGUUCGAUAAAUUCUAUUUUUUGGAGGGGUUAAAAAAAUUGCCGGAGCGUUGGGAGAAAUGUAUCUUUC